GGGCCUGUAGCUCAGCUGGGAGAGCGCGUCGUUCGCAAUGACGAGGUCGUCGGUUCGAUCCCGAUCAGGUCCACCA
rnacentral:tRNA from 3 species